rnacentral:rRNA from 1 species
AGAACGAACGCUGGCGGCAUGCCUAACACAUGCAAGUCGAACGCUCUUGGGGCUUCGGUUCCAAGGGAGUGGCGCACGGGUGAGUAGCGCGUGGGAACCUGCCCUGUUGUGGGGGAUAACCGAGGGAAACUUCGGCUAAUACCGCAUAAGCCGGUUGUCUUGAAAGAGAUGGCCGGGAAAGAUUUAUCGCGACAGGAGGGGCCCGCGUCGGAUUAGCUAGUUGGUGGGGUAACGGCCCACCAAGGCAGUGAUCCGUAGCUGGUCUGAGAGGAUGAUCAGCCACACUGGGACUGAGACACGGCCCAGACUCCUACGGGAGGCAGCAGUGGGGAAUAUUGGACAAUGGGCGCAAGCCUGAUCCAGCAAUGCCGCGUGAGUGAUGAAGGCCUUAGGGUUGUAAAGCUCUUUCGCCCGCGACGAUGAUGACGGUAGCGGGAGAAGAAGCCCCGGCUAACUUCGUGCCAGCAGCCGC